rnacentral:tRNA from 1 species
GGAGAUGUAUCGAAGUGGUCAUAACGAGCCUGACUCGAAAUCAGGUUGCCUUUCGGGGCACGUGGGUUCAAAUCCCACCGUCUCCG